rnacentral:misc_RNA from 1 species
GAUGAAGAACGUAGUGAAAUGCGAUAAGUAAUGUGAAUUGCAGAAUUCAGUGAAUCAUCGAAUCUUUGAACGCACAUUGCGCCCUCUGGUAUUCCGGGGGGCAUGCCUGUUCGAGCGUCAUUGCUGCCCUCAAGCACGGCUUGUGUGUUGGGCCCCGUCCUCCGAUCCCGGGGGACGGGCCCGAAAGGCAGCGGCGGCACCGCGUCCGGUCCUCGAGCGUAUGGGGCUUUGUCACCCGCUCUGUAGGCCCGGCCGGCGCUUGCCGAUCAACCCAAAUUUUUAUCCAGGUUGACCUCGGAUCAGGUAGGGAUACCCGCUGAACUUAAGCAUAUCAAUAAGCGGAGGA